UAAUAUUUUCUUCUAGAAUGGCACCACAAUAUUAACAACUGUGGAGAACAGUAGCACCACGUUUCUCCAACAAGAAAGCAGCUCAAUGGUUGCCAUGGUCCUCAACAGCUCUGGUACUCUUGGAAUCCCAGUGUCCCUGGCCACAAACAGCAGUCCUUCAGUUGUGUGCUCUCCAGCGAAGACUCUGCUGCAGAAAUUGGGAACAACAGGAGUGCCAGUAAUGAUUUCUGGCCAGCAAGCAUUUGUUCAACCUCAACCUAGAACUGUUCAGCAAACUGUUGGCAGCUCAAACCUUGUGCUCACUUUAGCUGACACCAGCGAGGUAUCUCAAGAUCUUAUGUCCAGUGCACAGCAGGGGAGCACUGUAGUUGCUUGCACAGAUCUCCAGUAUCAGUUGCCUUCGGUAUCAUCCGAUAGCAAAGACGAACAGGAGGCUCCUGAAGAAUGCACAUCGUGAUGCACAGACUGUGUGGAGAUUCCACAACAUUGUGAACACUGAUUUGUACUUGUUUUACAUGCAGCCUGCUGUUAUUGCGGUACAUAAGUUUGUAGUGCUGCUGUAGACACAGCUUUAAGAUCUCUGGUUUUUUUUAAUGCUCAAAGGGCCCUUUAAGGUGCACAUAUGCAUCAUCAAUCUUUUAUGUGGACAGAACCACCACACUGCUAAGUUUCACAUACCUUGAUCCAAAUGACAUACAAAAUGGAAGAUUGCUGCCAUGUGACACCAUUCAGUGUUGGCAGUCAUCCCGAAAUACCGAAAAUAAUUUUUACCUAGACUAGUCUACUUAUUGGUUAAGAUUAAUACUGAAAAGUACAAAAUAUAUGUUUGAGUGUAGUUUAGCAAUUGCAAAAGUUGCACACUCACCCUCUGCUGAAUCAGCUGUUUACAACAAGUUAUUGGCCAUGUAACUAAUUUUUCAGGCUGUAAACAAAGCCCGGAAAAUGUUGGACAAAAAUGCAGCAGAUCCAACAUGCCCUAUUAGAAUCUCCAUACAGCAAAGCUGCUGUGCGUCUUUGUCUUUCACCCAGUGCUCUGAUGCGCAUGACGCGAUGUGAUCAUGUAAGAUGUCUACAAUGUAGAUGAUCAUUUCUGACUGAACUCAUCUCAGAGGCAUCCCUAAGCUAGGCUAUGACCAGAAGUGGAAAGAGGAAGUUAAUUCAAAGCCAGAAGUGUCACUUGGCUGACUGGAAGUGGCACUAUGCAAGUCAGGUAUGAGCAGUGGCGGAUCCAGAAGGGGGGGGGGGGGCGUUAGAGGCGAUCAUCCCCCCCUCCCUCCCUAAAGCCUGUGUCAGCCUCUCCUCUCCCUCCCUUCAGUGCCUGUCGUUUACCUCCUUUGUCAGGUUGCCCCGGCUACCGCUGCCCAAAAAAUGGAAAGAGAAUAUUGUCCCCGCCUUCUACCUCUCUCCACAUCUUUCCGCUUUUUUUCUGGUUCCCUAUGCACAUAUCCAGUGAAGGCUUCUUAGGCACCGCCAUAUUCCUCUCUGGGCUGUUGUAAAUAUGUGUGACCCCUCUAAAAACACUGCUGAGGCGGCGACGUCAGCCUUUGUACUCCCCCCCCCUCCCUAUGUAGGCACCUGGAUCCACCCCCAAGUAUGACCUGCCACCCCUAUGACUAGUGAGAGCAAGCUGACCGCAGUGCAAUCUAUUCGGCAAUGGAGCAGCAGCCAUGAUCGGGGAAAUCCGGGGAAGUUUGCGAAAAGCUGUGUUCAAGGAUGGGGGGUGUCAGAGGUUCACUACCUCAAGCUAUCAGAGAUCGGUUGGGGAACUAUUCGCCUAGGGGCAGCAGCCUCAGUCAGUAAUAGCAGCGGAGGUUCGCAAACAAAAGCUUCGCUCUUAAAAAUUGCAUGACCAUGCACUUGUGCUCUGGGAUUGUGGCACUCUCAGGUGUGUUUCUAACAAAAAAAAAUGGGUGUGCUUGUGCGCCAUAAGAACGAAAAGUUGAUGCUUCGACUGUUAGCUUGGUGGCCCCCAUAAGCCGUAUCUCACGUAUUAAAAAAAAACGCAUGUUGGACUGCCUCAACAAUUCCUAAAAUGGAAAGCCAGGAUGUGCUGUCUCUUAUCAAAGAUUAUGUGGAUGGAAAGUGGUGCGGAAUUAGUAUCUGUUCAAGAAAGCAGUCAAGAAAUAGAUGUGUAGCAAUAAUUUGUUAAGCAGGUUAUACUUCCUUUCCAUCUUACAAGUUACUAAGAUCUUCCCUUGUGCAGUGGUGUGCUUUUUGAAUAAGCUGCUUUCCAAAGGCAAUGUGCAUUACAUUGCAGAGAAGGUGAUUUUUUCAAAUUAGGCAAAAGCAGGCUGGGUACAUACUAGAUCCUAUCAUACUGUGGGCAGCAGCUGAAAACAUUACAUGUUGCCAGUGCUGCACAGCUAUAGAUGGAAGGCUAUUCAAGUAUAUUUCUAAAUGAUGAGCUAUGACCACAAGCAUUUGUGCAAAUUUUCUAACUCAUUACUGUGUCAAUAUAGAAGCAAACUUUUGUGAAAGCCGCCUGUUUGUUGUUUCAGUCAAAUCACUUCCAUACAAUCUCUGAUAUAACACAAUACAUUCCAACUCUCCAUCUUCACAGUUGUGAGAGAAGCAGGCAAUUGAGUAAACAGGGCAAGCCUACGCUUUUCACUUGCUCACAGCACACACUACUUUCCUCAGAGGCAUGCCUGAAGGGAGGGACUUUAGUCCCGAUGUCCAAGUGUACAAUCACAUUAUUUUUUAUAUAUUUCAGGCGUAGUUCACAGUCUGAAAAUAUUAGUUACGUAGCAAGUAACCUGCUUGGAUUAGUUGUAUUGGGUUUUCCUGAAUGCACUCUGCAUCUUUUGCUGUAGUUAGUGUGCUGUAAAAUAAGUACAUAAAACUUUUCAGUGAUGAUCUUAACAAAUAAGGGAUCUAAUGUGGUCAAAAAAAUAUUUUGAGUAUGUCAUGAAACUGGCCAAUAAUAUGAUUGAUUUCAUCGCACUGUAAUAAUCCUCUUUUCUUUUAAUAGCUGUUUCAUGAAACACUAUAUGUUACUGCUUGUCAUCAGAUAUGUUGUUUGUUAUUUGUGUGCUGUAAGUUCUCUUGUGUGUCUUGUUCAGCCACCUGUGCCCUCUAGCACCUCAGUGUGGUAUGCACUUCAUUAUUAUGCUACCAUGAUUGCUGUACCAUGUCAUAUUACGCUAAGUUUUUCAUAAAGAAGCAUGUGUCUUAAAAGGACCUAAGAACACUUUUUUUUGGGGGGGGGUGACGUUAGAAACGUGGCACAACAAGCAUUGUUCCUCUUGAAGAAUAAAUUUUUUAAAUGACUAAGUACGAAAUGAUAUAUUAGGAGUCCAAUUUUCACUUUCACCAUCCCUUCAUGAUGUUCCCAUUUCCCUCUGUGAGGGUAGUGCUGGAAGCAAUGCCCUGCAUUUGCUCUUUUUGUUUUAUUAUCAAAGUUGUCUGAGAGAGAGAGAAAAAAAAAGCAGUGACUGGAUAGAUGGGAUGUGUUAGCUAGCACUGUCCCAUUUUAUUGAAAUCACUGAAUGAUCUGAAACAAUGUGCAUGCAUGCAUGGCAUGGUGUGCAAAAGUAUAUUGUGUUUAAAAAAAAAAAUAGCUGGCAUCUAUAGGCGGCCAGCUGCUACCACCAGACCUCAGCUGGCAGCUGGCAAGAAAUACAAAAAAAUGGUUAGGAGGAGCCCCCUCCUUAAAAAGAGGGAAGACAAUGUUUAUAUGUCACAUAUUGGCGGUGUCUUGGUUACAUCUUCAUGCUCUACUUGCGUAAUGUGCUAUCUCACCAAGCUUCAUGUAAUGCUGGCAGGUAGUUGGUUGCUAUAGUUGGUUACAACCUUCAAAAAAAAAAAAAUAUGAACUCUGCCCACAGCUAUCGCUGUCUCACCGAGAGAGAAUUUGCAUAGAUGCUCCAAUGCAAUUGCAUUUUCUCAUUUCUAUGGUGUCAAGCACUUUUGCACGUUUAGGACAGUCAGUUUUGCCAUACCUAUAUAUGUUUGUGUCACUGGUUUUAGUAUGAAAACUUGGAACAUCCGACAAAUUUUAUCAGAUAUUCUGGCAUCACUGCUCAGCCAAACUUAAUGUUUGGCCGAGUAGUGAUGACAGGGAUGGCAAGCUUUUCAUUCCAAAUAUGCCUAGUAUAUACAUUAACAGAGAGAAAGUACUUACGCUUUGAAUGGAAACCAGCUGCCACAACUCUUACACAGAUGAAUAGCAAGCACACAGCAGUUCUGUAGAUGGAGCUUGUAUUUUUUUUUUGUGGGUUGUAACGAACUGUAGUGUUUGUUUAUGUUACAAGCACAAUAUGAAAGAAACAAAAAAAAUGUGGAUGCUACAAACACAGCACUGCACGGCUGCAAUUAACACACAAAGCCAGAACCAUAAAACGCAACAUAGACUAGUCUUGGAAGCUUUAAAAAGUGAUAACACUGCCUCUGUUGACAUCACAAAGAAAUGGAGCAUCUCAGUCGGUGCAUGAGUGGCACACGUACGCAGUAGUAAGGCUUCGUUUUAUGGUCUUAAGCUUUGUGUAUCCAUGUGUUAAAUAUAAUUUGUGGUGUUAUGCAAUCUCUUUGUGUUCAUUUAUGCUGUGCUCAUAGCAUGAAUGAGGAAGCCAAGCUUCAUGGAUGGUUCAGGGCCCAUCUAAGAGCUUUGAAAAAAUUUAAAUAGCUCUUAAGGAGCCCAUUGCAUCUCUUAAGACAGUUAUUUACACCGAAUCUCCUGAAAUGCAUUCUCAGAAAUUUUAUGUGCCAAAGUGGAAUAAAAUAGCUACAAGGACUUAAAAA